UACGUAGGGUGCGAGCGUUAAUCGGAAUUACUGGGCGUAAGGGCGCGUAGGCGGUUUGACCAGUCAGGUGUGAAAUUCCCGGGCUUAACCUGGGGGCUGCACUUGAUACUGUCAGGCUUGAAUUCGGGAGAGGAUAGCGGAAUUCCCAGUGUAGAGGUGAAAUUCGUAGAUAUUGGGAAGAACACCGGUGGCGAAGGCGGCUAUCUGGACCGACAUUGACGCUGAGGCGCGAAAGCGUGGGGAGCAAACAGG
rnacentral:rRNA from 1 species